ACCUGGGCACACCUGGAUGCACCUGGGCACACCUGGGACACCUGGCAGACCUGGCUCACCUGGACACCUGGACAUCUCACACACCUGGGCAUGCUUGGGCACACCUGGCACACCUGGAGACCUGGGACACCUGGGCACCUGGACACACCUGCCAUAUCUGGGCUCACCUGGCACACCUGAGCACCUGGGCACACCUGUGCUCACCUGAGCAUACCUGGACACUUGGGUUUUUGGGGGGUUUUGGGUAUUUUUGCUUUAUUUUCCUUUCCUGAACAAGUAGCAGCUGCGUGCCCAGCUCUGGGUGAGGAGGAGCUGCGUGUCCCUCACCCUGCUCGGCCCUCAUCAUCCUCACUCCCACCUGAGAGCGGCCCUGGCACAGCCCAGGUGGGAGCCAGGCUGCCAGGAAAUGCACUGGCUGCAUUUCUGCUGCAUUUCUGCUGCAUUUCUGCUGUCCCUGCUCUGCCCACAGCAUCCCCUGCGUCCUGCAGCCCCCUGAGCCCCUCCAAAUCCACAAAACUCCCUCUGGAAAUCUCCCAGGACAGAAAUCACCUCUGUAGCCGCAGUUCUGUCAAUAGCAAAGGUUCUCAUCUCAUUGGUUUUUUACCAGAAAUGCUUUGCUAAGCGCUGCUGUUGGAAAUACCAGUUCCAGCUUUUCUAGCAAAACAAGGGGGGGAAAAAGGAAAAAAACCUCUCAAGGAGGAAAGGGAAUGGAGGAAAGGGACUCAGUGGAGACCCGGCCUGGCCCUUUGGGCAAGGAGAGCAGGGAGCCCCUGGCAGAGGCUCUGGUGCCUCCGUCCCUCUGCCAGGUGAGGUGGGACAGACCUGGGAGUGCCGAGGAGCUGAGGCUGCAGCAGCCGAGGCUGGGCUCCCUUUGGGCCCCUCUUCUGUCGGUUCUUCCUUUGAUCCUCCUGUGCUGUUUGUCCUCCCCUGAUCCCCCGUUCUGUGUGUGCCCCCCGACCCCCUGUUCUGUGUGCAGGCAGCACGGAGCAGCCCCCAGCCCCCUGUGCUGCUCGCCCACCCCUCUGUCCCAGUUCUGCCCCCCCAGGGCACUGCCAGGGGCAGGGGAAGCUCGGAGCCCCCGCUGCAGCUGGGGUGGGACCCCUUGGAUGGACAGGAUUGGGUCAGGCAAAGAGCUCCUGGCCUGGCUUGGCUUGGUCUGGUUUGCUCUGGUUUGCUCUGGUUUGCUGUGAUUUGUCCCCACCACGGACGGUGUGAACACUGGGACAGUUAACACAGGAUCCCUGUCCCCCACAGAUCCUCAGCAUUUCACAAAUGUCUGGGGAGGAAAUUGACUUUCCACAAGACAGCGUCGAGAAUUUUAUUUUUAUAGUGCUGGUUAGCCAAUGAGGUAGUUAAUUAAUUGGUUAAUUAACCAAUAAACCUCCUGCUGGGGGGAAAUGUAAAAGCUGU
rnacentral:lncRNA from 1 species